UACGUAGGGGGCAAGCGUUAUCCGGAUUUACUGGGUGUAAAGGGAGCGUAGACGGCACUGCAAGUCUGGAGUGAAAGCCCGGGGCUCAACCCCGGGACUGCUUUGGAAACUGUGGUGCUGGAGUGCAGGAGAGGUAAGUGGAAUUCCUAGUGUAGCGGUGAAAUGCGUAGAUAUUAGGAGGAACACCAGUGGCGAAGGCGGCUUACUGGACUGUAACUGACGUUGAGGCUCGAAAGCGUGGGGAG
rnacentral:rRNA from 1 species